rnacentral:rRNA from 1 species
CAGGAAGGUAGGGUAAGCGCGCUGAUGGAUAUGCGCGUCCAAGCAGUUAGGCUGACAAGUAGGCAAAUCCGCUUGUCAUAAAGGCUGAGCUGUGAUGGCGAGGGAAAUAUUAGUACCGAAGUUCCUGAUCCUACACUGCCAAGAAAAGCCUCUAGCGAGGUGACUGGUGCCCGUACCGCAAACCGACACAGGUAGGCGGGAAGAGAAUUCUAAGACGCGCGGGAGAACUCUCGUUAAGGAACUCGGCAAAAUGACCCCGUAACUUCGGGAGAAGGGGUGCUCUAUUAGGGUUUACGCCCGAGAGAGCCGCAGUGAAUAGG